UGGAUGUUGCUGUUCAGUCUGUGUCCUGUGUCUGCUCUCCUCUCCUCUCUCCUCUCCUCCACCUGUGUCUACUCCUUCUGCAGAACAACAGCUCCAACUGAGACUCAGGUUCCUCUGAACAGGACGACCACCAGGGGAAGUGACAGCAGAGAGCAGACUACAGUCAAAGAGGAAGGAGACCUGUGUUACGCAUCGUUGGAUAUCCGUCAGGGACCGAGGAGACCAAAGAAGAAGAAGAAGAGAGUCCAAAACUCUGACUUCAGUACCUACUCAGCCAUCAAUACCAGCAGAGUGUGAAACCUAUACCAUCCAUCAAUACCAGCAGAGUGUGAGACCU